rfam:Rattus norvegicus chromosome 9, whole genome shotgun sequence.
GGGGAUUUGGCUCAGUGGUAGAGCGCUUGCCUAGCAAGCACAAGGCCCUGGGUUCGGUCCCCAGCUCCA